rnacentral:rRNA from 1 species
UUUGGUGGCGAUAGCGAAGAGGUCACACCCGUUCCCAUGCCGAACACGGAAGUUAAGCUCUUCAGCGCCGAUGGUAGUCGGGGGUUUCCCCCUGUGAGAGUAGGACGUUGCCAAGC